GGUCCUGUGGUGUAAUGGUUAGCACUUUCGACUUUAAAUCGAGAAAUCCGAGUUCAAAUCUCGGCAGGACCU